UCACAUUUUGCGCCAUAAAAGCAACCUCAAAACCCCAAAACCCAAACCCUCGUUCAGUGAGUUGAAGAAAUUUUCCCUCUUCUAUCUCUCUCUGUGGAAGUGAAAUUCGCCGAAAAUCACUAUGGUUGAAGAAGCUCAUGCUGCAUCUGAGACUUCCGUCACAAUGCCUCCACCAACGGAAACUGUAACGGUCGUCGACGGAACCCUAAACCGUGAUGAGCACGACAAAAACGGAUUAACUACGGAGUCCGCCAUGGUCUCAGACGCUGAAAAUUCUGGUCUCGCGUCCGGUGGCGAUGAUCGGAAGGCUCUGGACUUGGCUGAUGAGUUGAUGGAUAAAGAAAACAAGGCUAUGAAGGAUAACGAUUAUGGAGAGGCAGCUGAUAACUAUAGCCGUGCUCUUGAAAUCAGAGUUGGCCAUUAUGGUGAGCUUGCUCCUGAGUGUGUUCACACAUACUACAAGUAUGGCUGUGCACUGUUAUACAAGGCUCAAGAGGAAGCUGAUCCUUUGGGUGUGGUUCCUAAGAAGCAGGAUGUGCCUCAACAUGGCUCCGAGAAAGAUGGAUCUGUAAAGAGUGCUAUGAAUGCUGAGUCCUCAACUGCAUCUUUUCCAAACAAUGCUGAGCAGGAUGUGACUUCAAAUAACCGGGAGUCAGAAGUGGUUAAUGGUGAAGCAACGUCUGGUAAGAAUGACCAGGAAGAUGGUGGGGAUAGUGAUGCUGAAGACUUAGCAGAAGGUGAUGAAGAUGAGUCUGACCUGGAUUUGGCAUGGAAAAUGCUUGAUAUUGCCAGAGCCAUUGUUGAAAAGCAAUCUGUCAAUACUAUGGAACAAGUGGAUAUAUUAUCAACAUUGGGGGAUGUUGCAUUGGAAAGAGAGGAUUUUGAAACAUCUCUCUCUGACUACCAGAAGGCACUAUCCAUCUUAGAACAGCUGGUUGAACCAGAUGAUAGAAAAAUUGCUGACUUAAAUUUCCGUAUAUGCUUGUGUUUGGAGGUUGGUUCUAGGCCUGAAGAAGCUGUCGCUUAUUGUGAGAAGGCUACAUCUGUUUGUAAGGCACGUUUACAUCGUCUCACAAAUGAAGUAAAGAGUUUUUCCGACUUGACAUCUUCUGCUUCCGAGAUAAAGCGGGAUGAACAAACAUACCCUGGAUCUGAGUCUAAUAACUCAAUUGUGGAUAAACAAGCAGAAAUUGAAACUCUCACAGGUCUCUCAAGUGAGCUGGAAAAGAAGCUUGAUGAUUUACAACAGCUAAUCUCGAACCCAAAAUCAAUUCUCGCCGAAAUCCUUGGAAUAGCAGCUGCAAAGGCAGGCAAUGGGAAGGAAUCAUCUGGAGGAAGAGUGAGCUCCACACAGCUGGCUACUGCCAACAGCAGUGGAGGUUUUGAUUCUCCAACCAUUUCCACUGCUCACACCAAUGGAUCUGCUGCAGUCACACACCUUGGUGUGGUAGGAAGAGGAAUUAAGCGAGCAUCAAAUGCUAGUGUGGAAGAAGCAAGCAUAGCAAAGAAACCGGCAUUAGAAACAACUGAAGGCAAAGAUUUUACGGGUAUCCAACCGGCCUCAGUCGUUGUCAUCCUUAGUCUUUGUACUCCUCAAGGUUUGAAAGGAAACUAAGGAAUAGGAGUAAAAUCCAAUCUUUAAAAUGGAAUAACCUAAUAACUAUGUAAGGCGUUAUCUUUAUUAGUAGCCAGCUGUCCCUACAAAUUAUGUAAACAAAGACAACGUUGAUGUUGUCGAAGUGCUAGAAAUCAUACGAAUAUAAUAUACACCUCUUAGUUACUUAUAAAAACAUGAUGAUAGUUAGAUGGUACUCGUACAAGUGAGACAGCAUCAAAUUAUACUCAAUUCUUAAUUAACAUUGAGGAGUUGCAAAAAGUAUGUGUUAUAGGGUAGAAUGUGCAACCUGUGGAAAAUAUACCUGGGGGGGAUGUGGUAAACACUUGAGGACCCUCUAUGGAAGUAUUGAUGAAGGAAUGCAUUGCAUGUGCCGUUCUUGGCCUGGCGUUGUUAUACCCUCCCAGCAUCGUACAGCCACAGCUAGUAACCAAUCAACACAAUCCAAUAACUCCUCUCAUGGCAAUGAUGGGACUUCUCAAAGUUCUUGAAGUUGUCUUGGAUCGAUGCUGAACUGCAGCAUUUAUUUACGUUUGAUGAACAUGCAGAGGGAAAGCGAUUGAUAUUGUUUGGUUCCAUUGUAUGUCACAACAGAAUAUUAAGGACGUUUUAAUAUUAAUAAUGUAAUAUAGGACUGGUCAUGUUAUAUUGACCAACAUUAACCUGGAAUCUUUUCUAUGUUAAUGGGUUUGUCCAUAUAGAAUAAAUUCCUCUGUUCUUGUACUG